UUUCAUUGUGAGCAAAAACAAUCCAGCACAAAAAAUAAUUAAAAUAACUCCAUACAAAAUUUAUAACAAACCCAUUAGGAUUCUCAACUUCAGUUGCAAAUCUUUGUACAUGUCUUCCUUUUCUCACUAUUACUAAACCAUUUCGAACUGUAACGGCUCCCAGAAUUUUUUGUCUUCACAGCUGUUCUCUCUUAAUUGCAGAGUCCCCACUUCCAUGCUAAUUUUUUCUUUUCUUUUCUUCUUUCUAUUACUAAACCAUUUCGAACUGUAACGGCUCCCAGAAUUUUUUGUCUUCACAGCUGUUCUCUCUUAAUUGCAGAGUCCCCACUUCCAUGCUAAUUUUUUCUUUUCUUUUCUUCUUU
rnacentral:misc_RNA from 1 species